rnacentral:rRNA from 1 species
CCUACGGGAGACAGCAGUGGGGAAUAUUGGACAAUGGGGGGAACCCUGAUCCAGCCAUGCCGCGUGUGUGAAGAAGGCCCUCGGGUUGUAAAGCACUUUCAGUGAGGAAGAACGCCUGGUGGUUAAUACCCAUCAGGAAAGACAUCACUCACAGAAGAAGCACCGGCUAACUCCGUGCCAGCAGCCGCGGUAAUACGGAGGGUGCGAGCGUUAAUCGGAAUUACUGGGCGUAAAGCGCGCGUAGGUGGCUUGAUAAGCCGGUUGUGAAAGCCCCGGGCUCAACCUGGGAACGGCAUCCGGAACUGUCAAGCUAGAGUGCAGGAGAGGAAGGUAGAAUUCCCGGUGUAGCGGUGAAAUGCGUAGAGAUCGGGAGGAAUACCAGUGGCGAAGGCGGCCUUCUGGACUGACACUGACACUGAGGUGCGAAAGCGUGGGUAGCAAACAGGAUUAGAUACCCUAGUAGUC